rnacentral:rRNA from 1 species
AAUCUUCCACAAUGGGCGAAAGCCUGAUGUAGCAACGCCUCGUGAGUGAAGAAGGUCUUCGGAACGUAAAUCUCUGUUGUAAGGGAAGAACAAGUACAGUCGUAACGGGCUGUAUUCUGACGGUAGCGAAUUCGAAUGCUACGGCUAACUACGUGCCAGCAGCCGCGGUAAUACGUAGGUGGCAAGCGUUGUCCGGAAUUAUUGGGCGUAAAGCGCGCGCAGGCGGUCUUUUAAGUCUGAUGUGAAAGCCCACGGCUCAACCGUGGAGGGUCAUUGGAAACUGGGGAACUUGAGUGCAGAAGAGGAAAGUGGAAUUCCAAGUGUAGCGGUGAAAUGCGUAGAGAUUUGGAGGAACACCAGUGGCGAAGGCGACUUUCUGGUCUGUAACUGACGCUGAGGCGCGAAAGCGUGGGGAGCAAACAGG